CCAACGGGUGACGUCACGGACGCUACGUCCAUUUUUAUAUCCGGUCUAUGGUAUUUAUAGACCGAUAGUAUUUGGAGCCCUGAGUUUAACCUCGCAGGCAGCAGCUUCUGUGUUGACCAAUCAGCUGCUUCAGAUGAAGGAGUUCAGCCAAUCACAUUGAAGGAAAGUUCACCUGACAGAACGGCUCGGAAUGAAAAUCCCAAUCUGUGCUCUGCCGUUACGCAGUACGUCCCUACGUCACUCGCACAAACAGAACAUGGCGACGGCCCUGCGGAGGGUGUACAGCGGAGUGAGUCCGAGGUAUUUACCUUCAUUUAUUUUACUACAGCAGCUGUUCAUGUCAACAGGGCGACGUUUGUCCGCGUGGCUGAAACGCAGGUGACGUCCCUGUGGUGUUAGUGAGGCUGUGUGCGGAAGGAACCGGGUGACCUGCGAGUCCACCAGACUCUGUUCACACUUUAGAUUAAAUUCACUUUUGAUCGCGUGUAACAUCCAAACAGUGUGUUGAACGUGACGUCAGACAGGUGUGUGCUGAAGCUCUGGGCUCUGGUAACAUUAGGCAGACUCACCUGGAAGUCCUCUCCUCUGAGCUGCAGCCGGCAGCGCAGCCUGAGCACGGUUACAGGAGCUACCCAGAGAGACUGAAAGGACCCGUUGGAGUCCGUCAGAGUCAGAGUCCUUCAGAACCCGUCAGAGUCCUUCAGAACCCGUCAGAGUCAGAGUCCUUCAGAUAGUCUGAAUAAUACCUUCAAAUGUUUAAUGCAACUGCAAAACUGUCUGCUUCUUUCUGAGAUUGCUUUUUCCAACGAAUGAGACAAUGUCUCUCGGGGAGGGCAGCGACAGCGCCGACCGUUUGUCGGACUUAGCAAC